UACGAGGGGGGGCAAGCGUUGUUCGGAAUUAUUGGGCGUAAAGGGUGCGUAGGCGGUGCGGUAAGUCUGUUGUGAAAUCUCCGGGCUCAACUCGGAGUCUGCAUCAGAAACUGCCGUGCUGGAGUGUGGGAGAGGUGAGUGGAAUUCCCGGUGUAGCGGUGAAAUGCGUAGAGAUCGGGAGGAACACCUGUGGCGAAAGCGGCUCACUGGACCACAACUGACGCUGAGGCGCGAAAGCUAGGGGAGCAAACAGGG
rnacentral:rRNA from 1 species